rnacentral:misc_RNA from 1 species
AUUUAGUUAGGGAUAGAAAUAAUGAGUGUCUGGUUCAAGUUGUGGAGUCGAACAGUGGAAUUGAGGAGGGAGGGAAGGAGGAUAGUGAGAUGGGUAAUGGAAGGAUAGUUUUGAGCGGGGAGCUGGAGGCACUGGAGAGGAGAAGGAGGAGGAAAACAGAGAUUUUUAUUGGUGGGUUGAACACUGAUGCAAAGGAGGGG